AGAGUUUGAUCAUGGCUCAGAUUGAACGCUGGCGGCAGGCCUAACACAUGCAAGUCGAGCGGUAGCACAGAGAGCUUGCUCUCGGGUGACGAGCGGCGGACGGGUGAGUAAUGUCUGGGAAACUGCCUGAUGGAGGGGGAUAACUACUGGAAACGGUAGCUAAUACCGCAUAACGUCGCAAGACCAAAGUGGGGGACCUUCGGGCCUCAUGCCAUCAGAUGUGCCCAGAUGGGAUUAGCUAGUAGGUGGGGUAACGGCUCACCUAGGCGACGAUCCCUAGCUGGUCUGAGAGGAUGACCAGCCACACUGGAACUGAGACACGGUCCAGACUCCUACGGGAGGCAGCAGUGGGGAAUAUUGCACAAUGGGCGCAAGCCUGAUGCAGCCAUGCCGCGUGUNACUUUCAGCGGGGAGGAAGGCGAUAAGGUUAAUAACCUUGUCGAUUGACGUUACCCGCAGAAGAAGCACCGGCUAACUCCGUGCCAGCAGCCGCGGUAAUACGGAGGGUGCAAGCGUUAAUCGGAAUUACUGGGCGUAAAGCGCACGCAGGCGGUCUGUCAAGUCGGAUGUGAAAUCCCCGGGCUCAACCUGGGAACUGCAUUCGAAACUGGCAGGCUAGAGUCUUGUAGAGGGGGGUAGAAUUCCAGGUGUAGCGGUGAAAUGCGUAGAGAUCUGGAGGAAUACCGGUGGCGAAGGCGGCCCCCUGGACAAAGACUGACGCUCAGGUGCGAAAGCGUGGGGAGCAAACAGGAUUAGAUACCCUGGUAGUCCACGCCGUAAACGAUGUCGAUUUGGAGGUUGUGCCCUUGAGGCGUGGCUUCCGGAGCUAACGCGUUAAAUCGACCGCCUGGGGAGUACGGCCGCAAGGUUAAAACUCAAAUGAAUUGACGGGGGCCCGCACAAGCGGUGGAGCAUGUGGUUUAAUUCGAUGCAACGCGAAGAACCUUACCUGGUCUUGACAUCCACAGAACUUAGCAGAGAUGCUUUGGUGCCUUCGGGAACUGUGAGACAGGUGCUGCAUGGCUGUCGUCAGCUCGUGUUGUGAAAUGUUGGGUUAAGUCCCGCAACGAGCGCAACCCUUAUCCUUUGUUGCCAGCGGUUAGGCCGGGAACUCAAAGGAGACUGCCAGUGAUAAACUGGAGGAAGGUGGGGAUGACGUCAAGUCAUCAUGGCCCUUACGACCAGGGCUACACACGUGCUACAAUGGCNGUCGUAGUCCGGAUUGGAGUCUGCAACUCGACUCCAUGAAGUCGGAAUCGCUAGUAAUCGUAGAUCAGAAUGCUACGGUGAAUACGUUCCCGGGCCUUGUACACACCGCCCGUCACACCAUGGGAGUGGGUUGCAAAAGAAGUAGGUAGCUUAACCUUCGGGAGGGCGCUUACCACUUUGUGAUUCAUGACUGGGGUGAAGUCGUAACAAGGUAACCGUAGGGGAACCUGCGGUUGGAUCACCU
rnacentral:rRNA from 1 species